rnacentral:rRNA from 1 species
UAAUACGUAGGGUCCGAGCGUUGUCCGGAUUUAUUGGGCGUAAAGAGCUCGUAGGCGGCUCAGUAAGUCGGAUGUGAAAACUCGGGGCUCAACCCCGAGACGCCAUCCGAUACUGCUGUGGCUUGAGUCUGGUAGGGGAGCACGGAAUUCCUGGUGUAGCGGUGAAAUGCGCAGAUAUCAGGAGGAACACCGGUGGCGAAGGCGGUGCUCUGGGCCAGUACUGACGCUGAGGAGCGAAAGCGUGGGGAGCAAACAGGAUUAGAUACCCUGGUAGUCCACGCCGUAAACGUUGGGCACUAGGUGUGGGUCCUCAUUGACGGGAUCCGUGCCGUAGCUAACGCAUUAAGUGCCCCGCCUGGGGAGUACGGCCGCAAGGCUA